AUAUAAGUCAGAAGUAGAAAAAGGGACAUAAACUAAGAAGGGUGCUGAGCGCUCAUCACCUGGAGGGACUUGUGCCUCUCUCAGUAGUAGUAGAGGGGCUACUUCUUCCUGCCACGGUCAUGACUGAGAGGCAAUGGGUGGCGAGCCUACAGGGGACGUCGUCGAGGAGACACGGGAUAACUUUAAGGGAGAAGACAGACAAGGGGAGGGGAUCCAGUGAUGGGAUCAGUCAGAUGCCUGCCUGGCCGCUCCCCCUGAGGGGACUUGGGCUCCUCUUAGCAUUGGCAGGCCGGUAUCAACUUGCGGCUCAGAUCGAGCUAUGCCUGAUGCUGCCUUAAGCCUUAAGAGGUCGCCACGGAACCGCAGGUGAGGGCCCACUUGAACUCCGUAGCUUUCGCCGUGGAGCUACAAACUGCAGGACAAACGCAAGCCCUUGUCCUCCGUCAUUCAUUCAUUAUUCACACAGAGUUUAUAACAGUUUUUUUUUUCUUUCUUGGAGAUUCUUCAAGAAACUUGAACAAGAGAUAGAAAAAGAGAGACAGAGAGAGUGACCGGUCUGCCAGAAACCAGGACUCAGUCCUCCAGCAUCCUGGGAUGUGGACUGAGCCAAGGGAGUGCCCCUGUCAGGGCCACUUCCCUCCUAGACAGAGACACAGAGGUGCCUAACAGAAAAGCAGGGCUCCACCUUCUAGCGUCCUAGAGUAAGGGGCAGUCAAAAGAGGGACGCCCUCAUAAGGGCCGCUUCCCUCUUACUAGAACUGAAGUCAAAUCUGACCUACCUGACCUCGGGGUCAGAAGUGGAGGACUCAGAGGUGGAAUUUUUGUGGGCACCCACACGGUAGUCGAUCCGCUCUCCUCUGGAAGACGGUCACCUUUCGGGGACCGGAAAAUUUUAUUUUCAGGUGGGGCCCCACUACAAGCCGGCCGUCCUUCCGGGGGGGGCCCGGAGCAAGCCCGGCUCUCGCCUGGUGGUGUUUCUCACUGGGGCCUCCAAAUGUUGUACUUGAGCGAGUUAGAGAAAAUGCCACACUUUGAGACGAAUUAUGAGUCUAUUUAUUUAGCCGGUGGCCAAGAUACGGUUAAUGCUUAAACUUCUAUCGGCCCUGAAGAAGGGGCUAGAUUUUCUUUUAUAGUUUAGUUUAGAAAGGGGAAAGGGGUCUAGUUAAAACAAUUUUACAGAAGUAGGCAAAGAAUUUAAAAGGAUAAAUUGUUACAGGAAAGUAAACAGUUCUAGGUCUAAGGGCUUUAAGACUAUUACAAAGUGAUAGAUGCGGGGCUUGGGGUGUUAUCAAUCAGACGAAUUCCUGGGAACUGCGGAUAUUGCUCGCCACACAGUAUCUUAUCAGCUAAUUGCAUUCUUAGCUGUGCUAAGAGUCAGCUUGCACAAGUUAAGUCCUUGAGUAAGGGGCUGCCAGUGAAAAAGCCAAGACAAAGUCUGUCUAGCUCUCUUAGCUAAAAGAAAGUCAAUUCAGGUAGAAACAAGGCUAAGUGAUUAAAAGAAAAGGAAAGUCUACGAACAAAGUUAAUAAAAACAAGGUUAGGCAUUACAGAUGGGGUCAUCCUUAUAUUCAGCACAGUGUUUGUUCUGAAACUUCAAUGGAGUGCUCCUAGUUCGAUAACUUGGGCCAUGCCAAAUAAAUUGAAUUUCUCUUUCUUAACAACAGAUGUUUGAAUACAGCCCCGUGUCCCUCUCUGCUCCUUCCUGCCUUCCUCCUCUCCUCUUCCUUCCCUUCCUUUUCAAGAGCAGGCUUUGCAAACUUUCUUGAAAGCAUCAGAUAGUAAAUAUUUUCGAAUUCGUGGACCAUACAGUCUCUUGUAGUAGUUACUCAACUCUGCCACCCAUAGCAUGAAAGCAGCUGAUAUAGGGUGAAUAUGUGUCCCCACCCAAAUCUCAUGUUGCAAUGUAAUACCCAGUGUUAGAGGUGGUGGGGCCUGGUGGGAAGAGAUUUGAUCAUGGGGGUGGAUUUCUCAUGAAUGAUUUAGCAUCAUCCCUUUGGUCCUGUCCUUGCAAUAGUGAGUGAGUUCUUGCAAGAUCUGGUUGUUUACCAGUGUGUAGCACCUCCCUCCUCACUCUCUUGCUCCCACUUCAGCUUCUGCCAUGAUUGUAAGUUUCCUGAGGCCUCCACAGAAGCUCAGCAGAUGUCAGUGUCAUGCUCCCUGUACAGCCUACAAAACUGUGAGCCAAUUAAACCUCUUUUCUUUAUACAUCACCCAGUCUCAGGUAUUUCUUUAUAGCAUGAGAGAACAGCUUAAUCCAGCAGCCAUAGACAAUAUGUAGCAGAUGGGCAUGGCUGUGUUUCAGUAAAACUUUAUUGACAAAAACAUGUGCAGGCAGGUCAGAUUUGGCCCAUGGGCCAUAGUAUCCCUACCCCUGCUCUGGAAUAUUCUCUUCAGCAACCUCUGCCUCCUGGGUUGAAGCAAUUCUCCUGCCUCAGCCUCCCAAGUAGCUGGGAUUACAAGCACCUGCCAGCACACCUGGCUAAUUUUUGUAUUUUUUAAUAGAAAUAGGGUUUUACCAUGUUGGCCAGGCUGGUCUCAAACUCCUGACAUCAGGUGAUCCACCCACCUCAGCCUCACAAAAUGCUGAGAUUACAGGCGCCCACCACCACACCUGGCUAAUUUUUGUAUUUUUAGUAGAGAUGUGAUUUCACUAUGUUGCCCAGGCUGGUCUCAAACUCCUGAUCUCAAGUGAUCCACCUGCCUCAGCCUCCCAAAGUGCUGGGAUUACAGGUGUGAGCCACUGCAGCUGCCCUCUAGUUUUUUGUUUUUUUUUUUUUUUUGACCAUUGCUUAUUUGGUGUAACUUUCAUUUUCUUUCCCAUUGUGGUAGCCAUUUUCUGAAUGCCUGUUAGUUUUUCCGUCUCUCUCCUCUGUAGUCCCUGGAAUCAGAUGAACUCCUCUGCAGGUGCAAUGGUGUAACACUCUCUAGUGCUGAAUUUUGAGCAGGAGAAAGAGAGCAAGAGUGACCAGCACUCUUGGAAACUCUGGCCUCCUGAGAAUUUGGUGUCUUCUCUACAAAGGCUGCAAACCUGUUAACCCACAGGCCAGAGAGAGAGAGAAGCCAUGAAGCAUGAUCUGUUAAGCAUGAGUUUAAUAUUUGAUGCCCAGAGAUCACGGUGUUUUUUCAUGAGAAUUAGAGGGGGAGACACGGCCACAGAGAACAAUUUCUAUCCCCAGGUGAGGAUUCAGGAGAUAAUUGUGUGAACAGAACUUCCUGAGAAUUGAGAUGGGGGAAAAUCGCUGGUGUUAGAAAGGUGAAAAGGUCACUAAUUAAGGCUACGACUAUGCUCUGAGAGGCGAAAGAAGAAAAUGAGACUGCCAGGCAUGAAUAAUGAGAAAUCUUUGAUGGAAUUAGCCAUGCAGAACAGAUACUAAAUGCAUCCUCAUUCCUCUCAUAGUC
rnacentral:lncRNA from 1 species